AAACCUCUGACAUAAUCUGUGUAUGUUU
rfam:Gorilla gorilla gorilla genomic chromosome, chr1, whole genome shotgun sequence